UUCGUAGGCGGUGCGGUAAGUCGGAAGUGAAAUCUCUGGGCUUAACUCAGAGGCUGCUUUCGAAACUGCCGUGCUAGAGUGCGGGAGAGGCGAGUGGAAUUGCAGGUGUAGCGGUGAAAUGCGUAGAUAUCUGCAGGAACACCCGUGGCGAAGGCGGCUCGCUGGACCGCAACUGACGCUGAGGAACGAAAGCUAGGGGAGCAAACAGGAUUAGAUACCCUGGUAGUCCUAGCCCUAAACCAUCAGGACUUGGGGUGGCCCGCGUUGGCGGGUCGUCCCGGAGCUAACGCGUUAAGUCCUGCGCCUGGGGAGUACGGUCGCAAGGCUGAA
rnacentral:rRNA from 1 species